UACGUAGGGGGCUAGCGUUGUCCGGAAUCAUUGGGCGUAAAGCGCGCGUAGGCGGCCCGGUAAGUCCGCUGUGAAAGUCAAAGGCUCAACCUUUGAAUGUCAGCGGAUACUGCCGGGCUAGAGUCCGGAAGAGGCGAGUGGAACUCCUGGUGUAGCGGUGGAAUGCGCAGAUAUCAGGAGGAACACCUGUGGCGAAAGCGGCGCACUGGACCACAACUGACGCUGAGGCGCGAAAGCUAGGGGAGCAAACAGG
rnacentral:rRNA from 1 species